ACUUCAUGAUUUGGGCAUUGGGCAAAGUUUCCAUUAAAUUAUUCCCAAUCUUCAAACAAUGAUUCUCCAUUUGUUUGCUGAAAGUUUACAAUCUCGUCCUUAUUUU
rfam:Capsicum annuum cultivar Zunla-1 chromosome 1, whole genome shotgun sequence